rnacentral:rRNA from 1 species
CCUACGGGUGCAGCAGUCGAGAAUCAUUCACAAUGGGGGAAAACCUGAUGGUGCGACGCCGCGUGGGGGAAUGAAGGGCUUCGGAUUGUAAACCCCUGGCAUGUGGGAGCAAAUUAAAAAGAUAGUACCACAAGAGGAAGAGACGGCUAACUCUGUGCCAUCAGCCGCGGGAAUACAGAGGUCUCAAGCGUUGUUCGGAAUCACUGGGCGUAAAGCGUGCGUAGGCUGUUUCGUAAGUCGUGUGUGAAAGGCGCGGGCUCAACCCGCGGACGGCCCAUGAUACUGCGAGACUAGAGUAAUGGAGGGGGAACCGGAAUUCUCGGUGUAGCAGUGAAAUGCGUAGAUAUCGAGAGGAACACUCGUGGCGAAGGCGGGUUCCUGGACAUUAACUGACGCUGAGGCACGAAGGCCAGGGGAGCGAAAGGGAUUAGAUACCCCAGUAGUC